CGCGGCCUAUCAGCUUGUUGGUGAGGUAACGGCUCACCAAGGCAUUGACGGGUAGCUAGUCUGAGAGGACGAAUAGCCACACUGGGACUGAGACACGGCCCAGACUCCUACGGGAGGCAGCAGUGGGGAAUCUUGCACAAUGGGCGAAAGCCUGAUGCAGCGACGCCGCGUGGGGGAUGAAGGCCCUAGGGUCGUAAACCCCUUUCAGUGGGGACGAAACUGACGGUACCCACAGAAGAAGGUCCGGCCAACUACGUGCCAGCAGCCGCGGUAAGACGUAGGGACCGAGCGUUGUCCGGAUUUAUUGGGCGUAAAGAGCUCGUAGGCGGUUGCGUAAGUCGGAUGUGAAAACUCGGGGCUCAACCCCGAGACGCCAUCCGAUACUGCGCUGACUUGAAUCCAGUAGGGGAGUGUGGAAUUUGUUGUGUAGCGGUGAAAUGCGCAGAUAUAACAAGGAACACCUAUGGCGAAGGCAGCACUCUGGGCUGGUAUUGACGCUGAGGAGCGAAAGCAUGGGUAGCAAACAGGAUUAGAUACCCUGGUAGUCCAUGCCGUAAACGGUGGGCACUAGGUGUGGGGACUUUCAACGGUUUCCGUGCCGAAGCUAACGCAUUAAGUGCCCCGCCUGGGGAGUACGG
rnacentral:rRNA from 1 species